rnacentral:rRNA from 1 species
GAGGAAGUCGCGGCUGAUUAGCUAGUUGGCGGGGUAAUGGCCCACCAAGGCUUAGAUCGGUAGCCGGCCUGAGAGGGCGCACGGCCACACUGGAACUGAAACACGGUCCAGACUCCUACGGGAGGCAGCAGUGGGGAAUUUUGCGCAAUGGGGGAAACCCUGACGCAGCAACGCCGCGUGGAGGAUGAAGUCCCUUGGGAUGUAAACUCCUUUCGACCAAGACGAUAAUGACGGUACUGGUGGAAGAAGCACCGGCUAACUCUGUGCCAGCAGCCGCGGUAAUACAGAGGAUGCGAGCGUUGUUCGGAAUUAUUGGGCGUAAAGGGCGCGUAGGCGGUGCGGUAAGUCACCUGUGAAAUCUCCUGGCUCAACUGGGAGCUUGCAGGCGAAACUGCCGUGCUAGAGUGUGGGAGAGGUGCGUGGAAUUCCCGGUGUAGCGGUGAAAUGCGUAGAUAUCGGGAGG